AAAUAAUUCAAUUUGUCAGUAGACUACUAUAGGAUAUGAUUAGACACUAUUUCAAGAAAAAUACUUGCAUUGUUAUUGGGUGAACCUCCUUAGUUGUUAGUGACUGAAGGUUCAGUAAAUGAUGCCAUGUGU